CGCCCACAAUCUGUUCAAACGGUUUCAACACGGAUGUAUUCGGGCGCGCUGUGCAAAAGCCGCGUGUCCGGUGGCAGACUUUUGGUCCGAGCUCUCUUACCGGGGGCAUCCGUGUUGGGAUCGUUCUUCGAAUGGAAAGGCAUUCGAACAUCCCACGAUUGGUCUCCUCGCGCUAACCCCGUAGCGUGUGGUUUUUAGCGGGCUCCAGGCCCGCUUUUUUU
rnacentral:ncRNA from 1 species